GAUGAACGCUGGCGGCGUGCCUAAUACAUGCAAGUCGAGCGAACAGACGAGGAGCUUGCUCCUCUGAUGUUAGCGGCGGACGGGUGAGUAACACGUGGAUAACCUACCUAUAAGACUGGGAUAACUUCGGGAAACCGGAGCUAAUACCGGAUAACAUGUUGAACCGCAUGGUUCAACAGUGAAAGACGGUCUUGCUGUCACUUAUAGAUGGAUCCGCGCCGCAUUAGCUAGUUGGUAAGGUAACGGCUUACCAAGGCAACGAUGCGUAGCCGACCUGAGAGGGUGAUCGGCCACACUGGAACUGAGACACGGUCCAGACUCCUACGGGAGGCAGCAGUAGGGAAUCUUCCGCAAUGGGCGAAAGCCUGACGGAGCAACGCCGCGUGAGUGAAGAAGGUCUUCGGAUCGUAAAACUCUGCUAUUAGGGAAGAACAAAUGUGUAAGUAACUAUGCACGUCUUGACGGUACCUAAUCAGAAAGCCACGGCUAACUACGUG
rnacentral:rRNA from 1 species